AUACGAAGGGGGCUAGCGUUGCUCGGAAUCACUGGGCGUAAAGCGCACGUAGGCGGCUUUCUAAGUCAGAGGUGAAAUCCCGGGGCGUCAACCCCGGAACUGCCUUUGAUACUGGAGAGCUUGAGUUCGGGAGAGGUGAGUGGAACUGCGAGUGUAGAGGUGAAAUUCGUAGAUAUUCGCAAGAACACCAGUGGCGAAGGCGGCUCACUGGCCCGAUACUGACGCUGAGGUGCGAAAGCGUGGGGAGC
rnacentral:rRNA from 1 species